AAAGCGGCAAUGUGGUGCUGAGUGCAUCAUUUCCGGUUCGUGGCAAGAUGGCGCUGACUGCAGAAGGCACCGAGUGAAGACACCGCUGAAUAAUUCAAGAGAGCUGACUACUCUGUCAAUGAGACAUAAAGACGCAGUGAGCAGCAACAAGAGGCACAGCAAGAAAGAAUUAUUCUCAUCUUUGACAUUUAAAAUGUUGUUAUAUUUUAAGCGAUUCACAUGUUAAACUGUAAUAAAUCAUUUUUCAACUUUU